rfam:Gossypium raimondii Chr05_contig_596, whole genome shotgun sequence.
UGUAAAAAAUUUUAUCUAUUUGUAUUGUUAAAAAUUGAUGUGAUUGACAGAAUAACCAAACAGGGAUAUGUGAUGUGCCAUGUGUAUCUCAUGGUGACAGACAGAGACCAAUUUUUAACAGUAGAAAUGAAUAAUUUUUUUUAACA